UACGUAGGGUGCGAGCGUUAAUCGGAAUUACUGGGCGUAAAGUGUGCGCAGGCGGCAGAGCAAGUCGAGUGUGAAAGCCCCGGGCUUAACUUGGGAAUUGCGCUCGAAACUACUUUGCUGGAGUGUGGCAGAGGAAGGUGGAAUUCCACGUGUAGCGGUGAAAUGCGUAGAGAUGUGGAGGAACACCUGUGGCGAAGGCGGCCGACUGGGCCGACCCUGACGCUGAGGCGCGAAGGCGUGGGGAGCGAACGGG
rnacentral:rRNA from 1 species